rnacentral:misc_RNA from 1 species
CCCAAACACACAGCUGGCGCCACCGUUGCUCUUGGACUCGCUCUGCCUUUGUUCGCCAAGCGACUCACCGCGGCGGGGAAGGAGCAGAGCCGGCCAAUCCGCCUUCGAUCCUUACUGUUAGGAGCUACCGUCCUCGUCGUGUCCGCCUCGCUGCGCCUCCGCGGCCUUCGCGCCAUCCUUGCCUUUUUCUCCGGUUCCCGCAGCAGUGAAGAUGUUGUUCCGCUCUUCUGUUCAGCGUAAUGUGCCGUUCCCGGUGCUCCGCAGCGCUGGUGCCUUUCCUCGGGUGGACCUCUGCAUCAUCGGAGGCGGCCCCGGCGGCAUCGCGGCUGCCAUGCGUGCCAUCGGCUACGGCAAAUCGGUCUGCAUCGUCGAGGGCGGCCGGAUAGGUGGCGCGGACUUGUGGGGCGGCACUGUGCCGUCUAAAAUGAUGUAUGAAAUUGCCCACUUCGCGGCCUCCCUGACGGGCCCGGAGUUUGCGCGGGACUUGGUGAACCCGGAUGAGAUGCAGAGCAUUGUCGACAGCAUCCCCAGCGAGCGCAUCACGCAGCUGCUGAAGAAGACGUGUGCGGAGAAGGAACGCGAGUAUCGCGCAUUCUUGGAGGCAUCGGGGGUGCAGCUGAUUGAAGGUAAGGCAACAUUCGCCAAUCCGAACGAAAUUGACAUCCACACGGAGGGCACUGGCGAGUAUCGCUCUCUUCAAGCCGACAACGUCGUCAUCGCGACCGGCGCAAUCCCGCGCAGCCACGCCUUUGCCAAGUGCGACCAUAACCGCAUCCUGAACUCCACUGACGUCUUUCAGCUGCCGAUACCGGCGAGUAUGGUGGUGAUCGGCGCCGGGGCGAUGGGGUGCGAGGUGGCGUCCAUGUUCGCCAAGCUGGGACGCACCAAGGUCCGCUUGGUAGACAAGGCCCCGCGUAUUCUGCCGAAAGAGGACGAGGACGUCGCGUCCUAUGUGCAGCGUCACCUCAUCCGUCGUGGCGUCGUCAUUCACCAGGGCUGCCGACUCUUUGACCUGGAGGCUGGCGAGGAGGACUGCCGGUACUCGUUGCGCGACAUCUUCAGUGGAGACAUCGAGACCUACCACGCCGAGCGCGCUAUGGUGGCGGUGGGACGCCAGCCCAACGUUGGGGCGCUGGGUCUGGAGAACACGAAGAUUCGGGUUGAGAAUGGGCAGCUCGACUGCGACGAGUACGGCCGCUGCAAGCCGUACAAGCACAUCUACUGCAUUGGAGACGCUACAGGGAGGCAGAAAACGGUAAACACCGCCCAAACGGCAGGCCAAGCAGUUGUGGACACCAUGUUUGGCUGCUCCCCCAAGCUGGCUGUGAGCAACAACGCCCUCACGAACAUUGCGACCGACAUGUUCCUGGAGGAUGAGGUCGCAAGCAUUGGCCUAAGCGAGAAGCAGUGCCGUGCGAGGGGCAUCGGCUACAUUGUGGCGAGGCUUGAGUACAAGCACCUCACCCGCUCCAUCGUGAUGGGAGCGAAGGACGGGUUUGUGAAGAUGAUCGUGACGAAUGACCGCGAGAAGCGAGUGUUGGGUGUGCGUGCCGUGGGGCCGCAUGCCGGCUCCGUCGUGGAGGUGGCCUCGCUGCCGAUUCUCAAAAACGAGUCCGUGUACACGAUGCUUAAGCACAACCCCGCCUACCCGUCACUGGUGUCAGGGGUGAUAGAAUGCGCGGCGAUGCUGGUCGGUCGCGGUGCCCGGUGCUCAAACGUGGUGGAAGGCAUCUCCAUAAAGAACUGGACCCCUGCCGACAGGGCGUAGCGCCAAAUGAGGAAAGGGAGAGCGUGAUCGUUGUGUGCGCCCUCUGCCUUUGGGGCAACAGAAAUCUCUGUGCAACGCAGGCACCCCUCCGUGUGCGCGCGCGCCCCUUGAAAUCACUGGAGGGAGCGAACAACGCGCGGCAAAGGGCAGCGAUGCGGAGGGAAGAGAAGGGUGCUGAAAAGAAAAGAGAGAGGGAGAGAGGCGCCUGCUGUGGCGCAGGCCGUGAUAUGCCGCUCCCUCCGUGGCGGUCCUUUCACAGCGGAUUACGUAUGAUGCCUUCUCCUUUCUCUGCGUCUCGUCUCCCGCCAUAUUGUUGGAUGUGGACGGAUAUUUGGUUUACGGGUGCUCAGUGAAGCAGGGUGGCGAAGGAGGAGGGGCGAUACUGGUGCACGGCGGUGAGCGGGCACCGUGCCAAAUUUGCCGACGAAGCACAAACUCCGCCACACCUUUGCAUGGCUGUCUCGCACAUACACACACGCACAUAUGUAUCUAUAUAUAUAUAUAGGGGCGAAC